rnacentral:rRNA from 1 species
UGGGGAAUAUUGCACAAUGGGCGCAAGCCUGAUGCAGCGACGCCGCGUGGGGGAUGACGGCCUUCGGGUUGUAAACCUCUUUCAGCAGGGACGAAGCGAAAGUGACGGUACCUGCAGAAGAAGCACCGGCCAACUACGUGCCAGCAGCCGCGGUAAUACGUAGGGUGCGAGCGUUGUCCGGAAUUACUGGGCGUAAAGAGCUCGUAGGUGGUUUGUCGCGUUGUUCGUGAAAACCGGGGGCUUAACCCUCGGCGUGCGGGCGAUACGGGCAGACUAGAGUACUGCAGGGGAGACUGGAAUUCCUAGUGUAGCGGUGGAAUGCGCAGAUAUCAGGAGGAACACCGGUGGCGAAGGCGGGUCUCUGGGCAGUAACUGACGCUGAGGAGCGAAAGCGUGGGGAGCGAACAGGAUUAGAUACCCUGGUAGUCCACGCCGUAAACGGUGGGUACUAGGUGUGGGUUUCCUUCCUUGGGAUCCGUGCCGUAGCUAACGCAUUAAGUACCCCGCCUGGGGAGUACGGCCGCAAGGCUAAAACUUAAAGGAAUUGACGGGGUCAUAGCUGUUUCCU